rnacentral:rRNA from 1 species
GAUGAACGCUGACAGAAUGCUUAACACAUGCAAGUCGACUGGAAUUCACCCUUCGGGGUGAUAGUACGGUGGCGGACGGGUGAGUAACGCGUAAAGAACUUACCCUCUAGACUGGGACAACUGUUGGAAACGACAGCUAAUACCGGAUAUUAUGAGAACCUCGCAUGGGGAACUUAUGAAAGCUAUAUGCGCUAGAGGAGAGCUUUGCGUGCCAUUAGGUAGUUGGUAGGGUAAUGGCCUACCAAGCCGACGAUGGCUAGCCGGCCUGAGAGGGUGAACGGCCACAAGGGGGACUGAGACACGGCCCUUACCCUACGGGAGGCAGCAGUGGGAAUAUUGGACAAUGGACCAAAAGUCUGAUCCAGCAAUUCUGUGUGCACGAUGAAGGUUUUCGGAUCGUAAAGUGC